GACGGAGGGUGCAAACGUUGUUCGGAAUCACUGGGCGUAAAGGGCGCGUAGGCGGACUUGUAAGUCGGGAGUGAAAACUCGGGGCUCAACCCCGAGCCUGCUUCCGAAACUGCGAGUCUUGAGGACCGGAGAGGAAAGUGGAAUUCCUAGUGUAGCGGUGGAAUGCGUAGAUAUUAGGAAGAACACCAGUGGCGAAGGCGACUUUCUGGACGGUUCCUGACGCUGAGGCGCGAAAGCUAGGGGAGCGAACAGG
rnacentral:rRNA from 1 species